UACGUAGGGUGCAGGCGUUAAUCGGAAUUACUGGGCGUAAAGCGUGCGCAGGCGGUUUGCUACGAGAGAUGUGAAAUCCCCGGGCUUAACCUGGGAACUGCGUUUCUAACUGGCAGGCUUGAGUGUGGCAGAGGGGGGUGGAAUUCCACGUGUAGCAGUGAAAUGCGUAGAGAUGUGGAGGAACACCGAUGGCGAAGGCAGCCCCCUGGGCUAACACUGACGCUCAUGCACGAAAGCGUGGGGAGCAAACAGG
rnacentral:rRNA from 1 species